GUAACACUUCGGGUGACGAGCGGCGAACGGCUGAGUAACACGUUGGUACCUACCCCAUACUCAGGGAUAACCCCGAGAAAUCGGAGCUAAUACCGGAUAGUCCCGCAAGGGUAAAGAUUUAUCGGUAUGGGAGGGGCCUGCGGCUCAUCAGGUAGUUGGUAAGGUAACGGCUUACCAAGCCUAUGACGAGUAGCUGGUGUGAGAGCAUGACCAGCCAGAAUGGGACUGAGACACGGCCCAUACUCCUACGGGAGGCAGCAGUAAGGAAUCUUCCGCAAUGGACGAAAGUCUGACGGAGCGACACCGCGUGCAGGAUGACACCCCUAGGGGCGUAAACUGCUUUUCUGAGUGAAGACAUUCUGACAUUAACUCAGGAAUAAGCACCGGCUAAUUACGUGCCAGCAGCCGCGGUAAUACGUAAGGUGCGAGCGUUAUCCGGAAUCAUUGGGCGUAAAGCGUCCGCAGCCGGAUUUAUAAGUCUGAUGUUAAAUCUCUCGGCCCAACCGAGAACUUGUAUCAGAAACUGUAAAUCUAGAGUAAUGUAGAGGUACGUGGAAUUUGUGGUGUAGGGGUAAAAUCCGUUGAUAUCACAAGGAACACCAAAAGCGAAGGCAGCGUACUGGACAUUUACUGACGGUCAGGGACGAAAGCGUGGGUAGCGAAAAGGAUUAGAUACCCUUGUA
rnacentral:rRNA from 1 species